AUACGUAGGGGGCGAGCGUUGUCCGGAAUGAUUGGGCGUAAAGGGCGCGUAGGCGGCCCGGUAAGUCUGGCGUGAAAGUCCUGCUUUUAAGGUGGGAAUUGCUUUGGAUACUGUCGGGCUUGAGUGCAGGAGAGGUAAGUGGAAUUCCCAGUGUAGCGGUGACAUGCGUAGAGAUUUGGAGGAACACCAGUGGCGAAGGCGACUUACUGGACUGUAACUGACGCUGAGGCGCGAAAGUGUGGGGAGCAAACAGGAUUAGAUACCCUGGUAGUCCACACUGUAAACGAUGAAUGCUAGGUGUAGGGGGUAUCGACCCCUUCUGUGCCGCAGUUAACACAAUAAGCAUUCCGCCUGGGGAGUACGGCCGCAAGGUUGAAACUCAAAGGAAUUGGCGGGG
rnacentral:rRNA from 1 species